rnacentral:lncRNA from 1 species
GUAUGCCUGGCGCAGGUGGGGUCUGCAGUCCGGCCAAGGCAAGCAGGAAGGUGGUCUUCCCCAUUUUGCCACCCGCCCCUGCUGUGCUGGCCUGAGGGGCCCUCAGUUGGCCCGGACCCCUCAGCUCUCCUCCCAGGACAUCUGGUCUCAACCCCGGCUGCCUGCCCUCCCACACUGCCCCAGAGGCUGUGACUUUCUGCACCCACCUCACGUCCCACAGGCUUCUGAAAUUGUAGGGAAAGGACCAAGAGCUGGUUGGACACCCUGUGGACCGGAAAGAAUGCUGACUCAGGAGCCAGCUGUGUUUUGCAGAGCAGGCGCUGAGGCACGGAGAGAAGAAGUGGCCGUCCAGGGUCCCGCAGCCAGCGAGGGGUGGAGCGGGAUUUGAAUCUGCUCAGUCUGUGCUCUUAGCUGCCACACUAAUUCCUCCCAGCCUUGUUGUGGGGUUCAAAGAAAAUACUGUUCACAAAAGCACGUUGUAACCAAG